rnacentral:pre_miRNA from 1 species
UUGAGACGGCGGUUAUGAUGAUGGUGAUGAUGCCGGUAACAAUGAUGAUACCAGCUAUCAUCGUCACCCGCAUCACCACCGUCAUCAUCACAACCG